rnacentral:rRNA from 1 species
UGGGGAAUAUUGCACAAUGGGCGCAAGCCUGAUGCAGCCAUGCCGCGUGUGUGAAGAAGGCCUCGGGUUGUAAAGCACUUUCAGCGAGGAGGAAGGUGGUGAGCUUAAUACGCUCAUCAAUUGACGUUACUCGCAGAAGAAGCACCGGCUAACUCCGUGCCAGCAGCCGCGGUAAUACGGAGGGUGCAAGCGUUAAUCGGAAUUACUGGGCGUAAAGCGCACGCAGGCGGUUUGUUAAGUCAGAUGUGAAAUCCCCGGGCUCAACCUGGGAACUGCAUUUGAAACUGGCAAGCUAGAGUCUCGUAGAGGGGGGUAGAAUUCCAGGUGUAGCGGUGAAAUGCGUAGAGAUCUGGAGGAAUACCGGUGGCGAAGGCGGCCCCCUGGACGAAGACUGACGCUCAGGUGCGAAAGCGUGGGGCAGCAAACAGGAUUAGAUACCCUGGUAGUCCACGCUGUAAACGAUGUCGAUUUUGGAGGUUGUGCCCCUUGAGGCGUGGCUUCCGGAGCUAACGCGUUAAAGUCGACCGCCUGGGGGAGUACGG